rnacentral:rRNA from 1 species
AAUGAACGCUGGCGGCAGGCCUAACACAUGCAAGUCGAACGAGUGGCGGACGGGUGAGUAAUGUCUGUGACACUGCCCGAUGGCGGGGGAUAACUACUGGAAACGGUACCUAUUACCGCAUACCAUCGGAUGUGCCCAGAGGGGAUUAGCUAGUAGGUGGGGUAACGGCUCACCUAGGCGACGAUCCCUAGCUGGUCUGAGAGGAUGACCAGCCAAACUGGAACUGAGACACGGUCCAGACUCCUACGGGAGGCAGCGGUGGGGAAUAUUGCGCAAUGGGCGCAAGCCUGAUGCAGCCAUGCCGCGUGUAUGAAGAAGGCCUUCGGGUUGUAAGGUUCUUUCAUCAAGGAGGCGGUACUCGCAGAAGAAGCACCGGCUAACUCCGUGCCAGCAGCCGCGGUAAUAC